rnacentral:rRNA from 1 species
UACGUAGGGGGCAAGCGUUGUCCGGAAUCAUUGGGCGUAAAGAGCGUGUAGGCGGUCCGGUAAGUCGGCUGUGAAAGUCCAGGGCUCAACCCUGGGAUGCCGGUCGAUACUGCCGGACUAGAGUUCGGAAGAGGCGAGUGGAAUUCCCGGUGUAGCGGUGAAAUUCGUAGAUAUCAAGCGGAACACCGGUGGCGAAGGCGGCCUUCUGGACAAUGACUGACGCUAAAACACGAAAGCGUGGGGAGCAAACAGG